GACUCUGUGGUGUAAUUGGUCAGUGCAUUUGGCUGUUAACCAAAAGGUUGGUGGUUUGAAACCACCCAGGGUCA